rnacentral:rRNA from 1 species
CCUACGGGAGGCAGCAGUGAGGAAUAUUGGUCAAUGGGCGGGAGCCUGAACCAGCCAAGCCGCGUGAGGGAAGAAGGUACAGCGUAUCGUAAACCUCUUUUGUCAGGGAACAAAGGCGGGGACUAGUCCCCGGAUGAGGGUACCUGAAGAAAAAGCAUCGGCUAACUCCGUGCCAGCAGCCGCGGUAAUACGGAGGAUGCGAGGGUUAUCCGGAUUUAUUGGUUUAAACGGGUGCGCAGGCGGCCUGUUAAGUCAGCGGGAAAAGCCCGGGGCUCAACCCCGGCGAGCCGUUGAAACGGGCGGGCUGGAGUUGGAGAGAAGUACGCGGAAUGCGCGGUGUAGCGGUGAAAUGCUUAGAUAUCGCGCAGAACCCCGAUUGCGAAGGCAGCGUACCGGCUCCACACUGACGCUGAGGCACGAAAGCGUGGGUAUCGAACAGGAUUAGAUACCCUGGUAGUC